AGCUUUGCACAGUGGCAGUAUCAUAGCCAGUGAGGUUUAUCCAAGGCACAAUUAUUGCUAAUUGAAAACUUUUCCCAAUACCCCGCUGUGAUGACUUGAAAUAUAGUCGGCAUUGGCAAUUUUUGGCAGUCCCUAUGGGGA
ensembl:snRNA U4 U4 spliceosomal RNA